UGUCUUUUCUAGUUCGUCG
rnacentral:snRNA from 1 species